GACGAACGCUGGCGGCGUGCUUAACACAUGCAAGUCGAACGCUGAAGCUUGGUGCUUGCACUGGGUGGAUGAGUGGCGAACGGGUGAGUAAUACGUGAGUAACCUGCCCUUGACUCUGGGAUAAGCCUGGGAAACUGGGUCUAAUACUGGAUACGACAUGCCACUGCAUGGUGGUGUGUGGAAAGGGUUUUACUGGUUUUGGAUGGGCUCACGGCCUAUCAGCUUGUUGGUGGGGUAAUGGCCUACCAAGGCGACGACGGGUAGCCGGCCUGAGAGGGUGACCGGCCACACUGGGACUGAGACACGGCACAGACUCCUACGGGAGGCAGCAGUGGGGAAUAUUGCACAAUGGGCGGAAGCCUGAUGCAGCGACGCCGCGUGAGGGAUGACGGCCUUCGGGUUGUAAACCUCUUUCAGCACGGAAGAAGCGAGAGUGACGGUACGUGCAGAAGAAGCGCCGGCUAACUACGUG
rnacentral:rRNA from 1 species